rnacentral:rRNA from 2 species
CUAAAAUGAGAGUUUGAUCCUGGCUCAGGACGAACGCUGGCGGCGUGCCUAAUACAUGCAAGUCGAACGCUUUUUUCAAUCAUCGUAGCUUGCUACACCGAUUGAAAAUUGAGUGGCGGACGGGUGAGUAACACGUGGGUAACCUGCCCAAAAGAGGGGGAUAACACUUGGAAACAGGUGCUAAUACCGCAUAACCAUGAUGACCGCAUGGUCAUUAUGUAAAAGAUGGUUUCGGCUAUCACUUUUGGAUGGACCCGCGGCGUAUUAACUUGUUGGUGGGGUAACGGCCUACCAAGGUGAUGAUACGUAGCCGAACUGAGAGGUUGAUCGGCCACAUUGGGACUGAGACACGGCCCAAACUCCUACGGGAGGCAGCAGUAGGGAAUCUUCCACAAUGGGCGCAAGCCUGAUGGAGCAACGCCGCGUGAGUGAAGAAGGUCUUCGGAUCGUAAAACUCUGUUGUUAGAGAAGAACAUGCAGGAGAGUAACUGUUCUUGUAUUGACGGUAUCUAACCAGAAAGCCACGGCUAACUACGUGCCAGCAGCCGCGGUAAUACGUAGGUGGCAAGCGUUGUCCGGAUUUAUUGGGCGUAAAGGGAACGCAGGCGGUCCUUUAAGUCUGAUGUGAAAGCCUUCGGCUUAACCGAAGAAUUGCAUUGGAAACUGGAGGACUUGAGUGCAGAAGAGGAGAGUGGAACUCCAUGUGUAGCGGUGAAAUGCGUAGAUAUAUGGAAGAACACCAGUGGCGAAAGCGGCUCUCUGGUCUGUAACUGACGCUGAGGUUCGAAAGUGUGGGUAGCAAACAGGAUUAGAUACCCUGGUAGUCCACACCGUAAACGAUGAAUGCUAAGUGUUGGAGGGUUUCCGCCCUUCAGUGCUGCAGCUAACGCAAUAAGCAUUCCGCCUGGGGAGUACGACCGCAAGGUUGAAACUCAAAGGAAUUGACGGGGGCCCGCACAAGCGGUGGAGCAUGUGGUUUAAUUCGAAGCAACGCGAAGAACCUUACCAGGUCUUGACAUCUUUUGACCAUCUUAGAGAUAAGAUUUUCCCUUCGGGGACAAAAUGACAGGUGGUGCAUGGCUGUCGUCAGCUCGUGUCGUGAGAUGUUGGGUUAAGUCCCGCAACGAGCGCAACCCUUGUUGUCAGUUGCCAGCAUUAAGUUGGGCACUCUGGCGAGACUGCCGGUGACAAACCGGAGGAAGGUGGGGACGACGUCAAGUCAUCAUGCCCCUUAUGACCUGGGCUACACACGUGCUACAAUGGACGGUACAACGAGUCGCAAACUCGCGAGGGCAAGCUAAUCUCUUAAAGCCGUUCUCAGUUCGGAUUGUAGGCUGCAACUCGCCUACAUGAAGUCGGAAUCGCUAGUAAUCGCGAAUCAGCAUGUCGCGGUGAAUACGUUCCCGGGCCUUGUACACACCGCCCGUCACACCAUGAGAGUUUGUAACACCCAAAGCCGGUGGGGUAACCUUUUAGGAGCUAGCCGUCUAAGGUGGGACAGAUGAUUGGGGUGAAGUCGUAACAAGGUAGCCGUAGGAGAACCUGCGGCUGGAUCACCUCCUUUCUAAGGAA